AUGGAGUUCAGUAGAAGAUUAACACUGACCAUGGCUACCGGAGGACUAUAUGAACAAGGCUUGCCAGGUCCUGCAUCAUCAACUAACAGCCAACUCCAAAUGAUUACUCAGGUUAGCUCUCCUUCUGUAACUAACCCAUUUUACAAUUGCUCUCCUUUCCCAGGAAUUCCAGAGGCCGAGUAUCGUUGCAGGGUAUAUGCGAACAACAAAAUCUAUGCCACAACUCUUUUCAGUACAUCUAUGGUGUCCUCAUUUCGGGAUAGUAAGUCCGACGACAAGAGAUUCUACAUAUUUUCUCCCACAAAGGCACUUAAGUUGAAGACAUAUUCAAAAGAUGACCGUGUCUCUGGUCGAGGCCUUGGUCUUGGUCAGGAGUGUUUAUUCGCUCAGGUUGCUUAG
rnacentral:rRNA from 1 species